ACUGUGGAGCGUGAAACCAGCCUGAGUAGUCGGCUUAGUAAGACGAAAGGGAACGCUAUGAAGCAGUAA
ncrna:unclassified sequences RAGATH-18 RNA